AACGUAGGAGACAAACGUUAUCCGGAGUUACUGGGCGUAAAGGGCGUGUAGGCGGUUAGUUAAGUCUGGCGUGAAAGCUCUCGGCUAAACCGGGAGAGGUCGUUGGAUACUGGCUGACUAGAGGACGGUAGAGGCGUGUGGAAUUCCGGGUGUAGUGGUGAAAUGCGUAGAUAUUCGGAGGAACACCAGUGGCGAAGGCGGCUCACUGGUCCGGUACUGACGCUGAGGUGCGAAAGCGUGGGGAGCAAACAGG
rnacentral:rRNA from 1 species